UAACGCGAAGAACCUUACCUGGUCUUGACAUCCGCGGAACUGCCCAGAGAUGGGCGGGUGCCUUCGGGAGCCGCGAGACAGGUGCUGCAUGGCUGUCGUCAGCUCGUGUCGUGAGAUGUUGGGUUAAGUCCCGCAACGAGCGCAACCCUUGUCCUUAGUUGCCAGCACGUAAUGGUGGGAACUCUAAGGAGACCGCCGGUGACAAACCGGAGGAAGGUGGGAUGACGUCAAGUCAUCAUGGCCCUUACGACCAGGGCUACACACGUACUACAAUGGUGGGGACAGAGGGCUGCGAACCCGCGAGGGGGAGCCAAUCCCAGAAACCCCAUCUCAGUCCGGAUUGGAGUCUGCAACUCGACUCCAUGAGGUCGGAAUCGCUAGUAA
rnacentral:rRNA from 1 species